rnacentral:lncRNA from 1 species
UGCUUCAUGCGCCGGUUCUGAAACCAGACUUUGACCUGCCUUUCGGUGAGGUCCAGCAAGGCCGCGAUCUCGACGCGGCGUGGCCGGCACAGGAAAAGAUGAGUGAGGAUCUCCGCGUUGGAGGAAGAGGGAGUCGAAAGAGGCUUCCACUCUUUGAAAAAGACCCAAUGGUGGUUGGGCUUCGGGUCACGUGACACCUUCUUUGUGGCUCCGGAAGAGGAUUGUGAAGUUUAGGUUUCGUGGAAGAAACCGAUAAUUGAGGAAAAAAAAAAAUCAAGAUUUGGGGGGAAUUACCUACAAAGAUGUAAGGUGUGUUAAUUUGGGCGCUUCUUGGAUUCUACCCUGAGGAGGAGGCGCGUGGUGAGAGGAGAGAUCUUGAUCUGCCGCUCGCUGAGGUUCAGCAGGUUGGCCAUCUCUACACGGCGAGGCCGGCACAGGUAGCGGUUAAAAUGGAACUCCUUCUCCAGCUCCACCAGCUGCGCGCUCGUGUACGCCGUCCGCGCCCGCUUGGACGCCGCCGACCCCGGGGGGCUCUUGUCCCCUCCCCCGCCGCCGCCGCCACCGCCCCCGCUGCCACCACUGCCUCCGCCGCCGCCGCCACCGCCGCCGCCACCACAGCCCUCUGCUGGAUCCGAGGGGGAGGGGUGGGAAGGGGAGAAAAUGAAAUAAAAGAUAAUUACUGAACACGCCGAAAUUGAAUGCAUCGUUUCUUAAUAAAUCCAGGCCUGGACUCAGAGCCCCCGCCGCCCUCCCCUUCGGGUCCCCGCCGCCUCCUCACUCCCCCACCCCACCGCCCGUCGCAUUAGCGGACACUCUAUAAUAGUGGCAUUUAUUAAGAGACCUGUUCUCCUUUCGCUGCCCCAGCUUAUGAAAAUUUGAUCAUGUCACGCAGACAGAGCCGCAUGGCCAUUUAUUUAGGGCUGGAUUUUCGCGUGCGUGCUUUCUCCCCCUUAUCCCCAAUUCCAGGUCAGGGAAGACAUUU